AUUGAACGCUGGCGGCAGGCCUAACACAUGCAAGUCGAACGAUUGGCGGACGGGUGAGUAAUGUCUGGGAAACUGCCCGAUGGAGGGGGAUAACUACUGGAAACGGUAGCUAAUCCCGCAUACCAUCGGAUGUGCCCAUAUGGGAUUAGCUAGUAGGUGGGGUAAAGGCUCACCUAGGCGACGAUCCCUAGCUGGUCUGAGAGGAUGACCAGCAACACUGGAACUGAGACCAGGUCCAGAUGCCUACGGGAGGCAGCAGUGGGGAAUAUUGCACAAUGGGCGCAAGCCUGAUGCAGCAAUGCCGCGUGUAUGAAGAAGGCCUUCGGGUUGUAAAGUACUUUCAGCGGGGAGGCGUUACCCGAAGAAGAAGCACCGGCUAACUCCGUGCCAGCAGCCGCGGUAAUUC
rnacentral:rRNA from 1 species